GCUGCCUUUAAGGGGCAAAGGAAGGAGGCAAGUUGGCAGACGUUGGGACUAGUGAUGAGAGCUCACUCCGUUACACAGCACUUGGAUCUCGAACUGCCAAUCAACAGAAUCAGCAUCUUAACCACUUGAGCCACCGUGUCCCAUCCCUAUUGCAGGGUUUUCGUGACAAAAUCUCUCAGAUAAGAGCCGACUUAGAUGCCACCGUUGAAACAGAGUCGAC